UACAGAGGUCUCAAGCGUUGUUCGGAAUUACUGGGCGUAAAGGGCGCGUAGGCGGCCCGCUAAGUCGAACGUGAAAUCCCCGGGCUCACCCGGAACUGCGUCCGAUACUGGCAGGCUUGAAUCCGGGAGAGGGAUGCGGAAUUCCAGGUGUAGCGGUGAAAUGCGUAGAUAUCUGGAGGAACACCGGUGGCGAAGGCGGCAUCCUGGACCGGUAUUGACGCUGAGGCGCGAAAGCCAGGGGAGCAAACGGG
rnacentral:rRNA from 1 species